rnacentral:rRNA from 1 species
GCCGAACUCUGGCGGCGUGCUUAACACAUGCAAGUCGAACGGAAAGGCCCUGCUUUUGUGGGGUGCUCGAGUGGCGAACGGGUGAGUAACACGUGAGUAACCUGCCCUUGACUUUGGGAUAACUUCAGGAAACUGGGGCUAAUACCGGAUAGGAGCUCCUGCUGCAUGGUGGGGGUUGGAAAGUUUCGGCGGUUGGGGAUGGACUCGCGGCUUAUCAGCUUGUUGGUGGGGUAGUGGCUUACCAAGGCUUUGACGGGUAGCCGGCCUGAGAGGGUGACCGGCCACAUUGGGACUGAGAUACGGCCCAGACUCCUACGGGAGGCAGCAGUGGGGAAUAUUGCACAAUGGGCGGAAGCCUGAUGCAGCAACGCCGCGUGCGGGAUGACGGCCUUCGGGUUGUAAACCGCUUUCGCCUGUGACGAAGCGUGAGUGACGGUAAUGGGUAAAGAAGCACCGGCUAACUACGUG